UGGGGAAUUUUACGCAAUGGGGGAAACCCUGACGUAGCGACACCGCGUGAGCGAAGAAGCCCUUUGGGGUGUAAAGCUCUGUCAACAGGAACGAAACAAAUGACGGUACCUGUGGAGGAAGCAUCGGCUAACUACGUGCCAGCAGCCGCGGUAAGACGUAGGAUGCAAGCGUUGUCCGGAUUUAUUGGGCGUAAAGAGUUCGUAGGCGGUUUGUUAAGUCUGAUGUUAAAGACCGGGGCUCAACCUCGGAAAUGCAUUGGAUGCUGGCAGACUGGAGUGCAGUAGAGGCUAGUGGAAUUCCCAGUGUAGCGGUGAAAUGCGUAGAUAUUGGGAAGAACACCGGUGGCGUAGGCGACUAGCUGGGCUGUAACUGACGCUGAGGAACGAAAGCCAGGGGAGCAAAUGGGAUUAGAUACCCCAGUAGUCCUGGCCGUAAAACGAUGGAUACUAGGCGUAGUGGGUAUCGACCCCUGCUGUGCCGCAGCUAACGCGAUAAGUAUCCCGCCUGAGUAGUACGGCCGCAAGGUUGAAACUCAAAUGAAUUGACGGGGUCAUAGCUGUUUCCU
rnacentral:rRNA from 1 species